GGGCCGUUAGCUCAGUUGGUAGAGCACCGGACUUUUAAUCCGUUGGUCGAAGGUUCAAACCCUUCACGGCCCACCA
rnacentral:tRNA from 1 species